rnacentral:rRNA from 2 species
AGCGUGGCGGCGUGCUAAUACAUGCAAGUCGAACGAAACUUUCUUACACCGAAUGCUUGCAUUCACCGUAAGAAGUUGAGUGGCGGACGGGUGAGUAACACGUGGGUAACCUGCCUAAAAGAAGGGGAUAACACUUGGAAACAGGUGCUAAUACCGUAUAUCUCUAAGGAUCGCAUGAUCCUUAGAUGAAAGAUGGUUCUGCUAUCGCUUUUAGAUGGACCCGCGGCGUAUUAACUAGUUGGUGGGGUAACGGCCUACCAAGGUGAUGAUACGUAGCCGAACUGAGAGGUUGAUCGGCCACAUUGGGACUGAGACACGGCCCAAACUCCUACGGGAGGCAGCAGUAGGGAAUCUUCCACAAUGGACGCAAGUCUGAUGGAGCAACGCCGCGUGAGUGAAGAAGGUCUUCGGAUCGUAAAACUCUGUUGUUAGAGAAGAACACGAGUGAGAGUAACUGUUCAUUCGAUGACGGUAUCUAACCAGCAAGUCACGGCUAACUACGUGCCAGCAGCCGCGGUAAUACGUAGGUGGCAAGCGUUGUCCGGAUUUAUUGGGCGUAAAGGGAACGCAGGCGGUCUUUUAAGUCUGAUGUGAAAGCCUUCGGCUUAACCGGAGUAGUGCAUUGGAAACUGGAAGACUUGAGUGCAGAAGAGGAGAGUGGAACUCCAUGUGUAGCGGUGAAAUGCGUAGAUAUAUGGAAGAACACCAGUGGCGAAAGCGGCUCUCUGGUCUGUAACUGACGCUGAGGUUCGAAAGCGUGGGUAGCAACAGGAUA